rnacentral:rRNA from 1 species
UACGAAGGGAGCUAGCGUUGUUCGGAAUUACUGGGCGUAAAGCGCACGUAGGCGGUUGUGUAAGUCAGGGGUGAAAUCCCGGAGCUCAACUUCGGAACUGCCUUUGAUACAGCACGGCUUGAGUCCGAUAGAGGUGGGUGGAAUUCCUAGUGUAGAGGUGAAAUUCGUAGAUAUUAGGAAGAACACCGGUGGCGAAGGCGGCCCACUGGAGCGGUACUGACGCUGAGGUGCGAAAGCGUGGGGAGCAAACAGG